GGGCCCGCACAAGCGGUGGAGCAUGUGGUUUAAUUCGAUGAUACGCGAGGAACCUUACCAGGGUUUAAAUGCAGAACGACAGGGGUGGAAACACCCCCUUCUUCGGACGGACUGCAAGGUGCUGCAUGGUUGUCGUCAGCUCGUGCUGUGAAGUGUCGGGUUAAGUCCCAUAACGAGCGCAACCCCCAUUUCUAGUUGCCAGCGGUUCGGCCGGGGACUCUAGAGAAACUGCCAGCGUAAGCUGUGAGGAAGGUGGGGAUGACGUCAAAUCAUCACGGCCCUUACAUCCUGGGCCACACACGUGCUACAAUGGUGGGGACAGACGGCCGCAAACCCGCGAGGGGGAGCC
rnacentral:rRNA from 1 species